rnacentral:tRNA from 1 species
GUGGCUGUAGCUCAGUUGGUUAGAGCGCCUGCCUGUGGAGCAGGAGGUCGAGGGUUCAAUCCCCUUCAGCCACCCCA